rfam:Enterovibrio coralii strain CAIM 912 contig00070, whole genome shotgun sequence.
GCGACACUAGCUCAGCUGGUAGAGCGCAACCUUGCCAAGGUUGAGGUCACGAGUUCGAACCUCGUGUGUCGCU